rnacentral:misc_RNA from 1 species
AACGCACAUUGCGCCCUCCUUCGUCUGGGAGGCAUGCCUGUCCGAGCGUCGUUUCAACCCUCGAGCCCCCGUGGCCCGGCGUUGGGGAUCUGCCCAGGCAGGCCCCUAAAACCAGUGGCGGACCCGUUACAGGCCCUUCCUUUGCGUAGUAGCAUCAGCCUCGCAUCGGGAGCCAGCGGGCUUCUGGCCUCUAAACCCCCAUCAAGUCCGCUCCGGCGGCACCAAGGUUGACCUCGGAUCAGGUAGGAAUACCCGCUGAACUUAA